ACCAGACUCCUACGGGAGGCAGCAGUGAGGAAUAUUGGUCAAUGGGCGGGAGCCUGAACCAGCCAAGUCGCGUGAGGGACGACGGUCCUAUGGAUUGUAAACCUCUUUUGUCGGGGAACAAAGGCGCCCACGGGUGGGCGGAUGAGUGUACCCGAAGAAAAAGCAUCGGCUAACUCCGUGCCAGCAGCCGCGGUAAUACGGAGGAUGCGAGCGUUAUCCGGAUUUAUUGGGUUUAAAGGGUGCGUAGGCGGCAUUAUAAGUUAGUGGUAAAAUAUUGGGGCUUCACCUCACUACGCCAUUAAUACUGUAGAGCUAGAGAACAGACGAGGUAGGCGGAAUAAGUUAAGUAGCGGUGAAAUGCAUAGAUAUAACUUAGAACACCGAUAGCGAAGGCAGCUUACCAGACUGAGUCUGACGCUGAUGCACGAGAGCAUGGGUAGCGAACAGGAUUAGAUACCCCCGUA
rnacentral:rRNA from 1 species